GAUGAACGCUGGCGGCGUGCCUAAUACAUGCAAGUCGAACGAACAGACGCGGAUCUUGCGCGUCGGACGUUAGCGGCAGAGGGGUGAGUAACACGAGUAUAAUCUACUUAUAAGACUGGGAUCUUUACGGAAAACGGGCGCUAAUCGCGGAUGAUCUACUGCUGCGCAUGGUUCAUUAGUGAAUUACGGCUUUGCUGGCAGUAAUAGAUGGUUCUGCGGCUCAUUAUCUGGUUGGUAGGGUAACGGCUUACCACGGGUACGCGGGGUAGACGACAUGGGAGGGUGAACGCGCACAUUGGGACUACGAGACGGACCAGUCUCCUACGUGACGCAGCAGUCGAGAAUAUUGCAGAACGGGCGGGAGUCUGAGGUAGAGGCGCUGCGUGCGUGAUGACGUCCUUCGGGUUGUAAACCGAUUUCGCCUGUGACGAAGAGUGAGUGACGGUAAUGGGUAAAGAAGCCCCGGCUAACUACGUG
rnacentral:rRNA from 1 species